CAAGUCGAGCGGACAGAUGGGAGCUUGCUCCCUGAUGUUAGCGGCGGACGGGUGAGUAACACGUGGGUAACCUGCCUGUAAGACUGGGAUAACUCCGGGAAACCGGGGCUAAUACCGGAUGGUUGUUUGAACCGCAUGGUUCAGACAUAAAAGGUGGCUUCGGCUACCACUUACAGAUGGACCCGCGGCGCAUUAGCUAGUUGGUGAGGUAACGGCUCACCAAGGCGACGAUGCGUAGCCGACCUGAGAGGGUGAUCGGCCACACUGGGACUGAGACACGGCCCAGAUUCCUACGGGAGGCAGCAGUAGGGAAUCUUCCGCAAUGGACGAAAGUCUGACGGAGCAACGCCGCGUGAGUGAUGAAGGUUUUCGGAUCGUAAAGCUCUGUUGUUAGGGAAGAACAAGUGCCGUUCAAAUAGGGCGGCACCUUGACGGUACCUAACCAGAAAGCCACGGCUAACUACGUGCCAGCAGCCGCGGUAAUACGUAGGUGGCAAGCGUUGUCCGGAAUUAUUGGGCGUAAAGGGCUCGCAGGCGGUUUCUUAAGUCUGAUGUGAAAGCCCCCGGCUCAACCGGGGAGGGUCAUUGGAAACUGGGGAACUUGAGUGCAGAAGAGGAGAGUGGAAUUCCACGUGUAGCGGUGAAAUGCGUAGAGAUGUGGAGGAACACCAGUGGCGAAGGCGACUCUCUGGUCUGUAACUGACGCUGAGGAGCGAAAGCGUGGGGAGCGAACAGGAUUAGAUACCCUGGUAGUCCACGCCGUAAACGAUGAGUGCUAAGUGUUAGGGGGUUUCCGCCCCUUAGUGCUGCAGCUAACGCAUUAAGCACUCCGCCUGGGGAGUACGGUCGCAAGACUGAAACUCAAAGGAAUUGACGGGGGCCCGCACAAGCGGUGGAGCAUGUGGUUUAAUUCGAAGCAACGCGAAGAACCUUACCAGGUCUUGACAUCCUCUGACAAUCCUAGAGAUAGGACGUCCCCUUCGGGGGCAGAGUGACAGGUGGUGCAUGGUUGUCGUCAGCUCGUGUCGUGAGAUGUUGGGUUAAGUCCCGCAACGAGCGCAACCCUUGAUCUUAGUUGCCAGCAUUCAGUUGGGCACUCUAAGGUGACUGCCGGUGACAAACCGGAGGAAAGGUGGGGAUGACGUCAAAUCAUCAUGCCCCUUAUGACCUGGGCUACACACGUGCUACAAUGGACAGAACAAAGGGCAGCGAAACCGCGAGGUUAAGCCAAUCCCACAAAUCUGUUCUCAGUUCGGAUCGCAGUCUGCAACUCGACUGCGUGAAGCUGGAAUCGCUAGUAAUCGCGGAUCAGCAUGCCGCGGUGAAUACGUUCCCGGGCCUUGUACACACCGCCCGUCACACCACGAGAGUUUGUAACACCCGAAGUCGGUGAGGUAACCUUUAGGAGCCAGCCGCCGAA
rnacentral:rRNA from 1 species